AACGAACGCUGGCGGCAUGCCUAACACAUGCAAGUCGAACGAGAUCUUCGGGUCUAGUGGCGCACGGGUGCGUAACGCGUGGGAAUCUGCCCUUUGGUUCGGAAUAACAGUUGGAAACGACUGCUAAUACCGGAUGAUGACGAAAGUCCAAAGAUUUAUCGCCAGAGGAUGAGCUCGCGUAGGAUUAGCUAGUUGGUGUGGUAAAGGCGCACCAAGGCGACGAUCCUUAGCUGGUCUGAGAGGAUGAUCAGCCACACUGGGACUGAGACACGGCCCAGACUCCUACGGGGGGCAGCAGUGGGGAAUAUUGGACAAUGGGCGAAAGCCUGAUCCAGCAAUGCCGCGUGAGUGAUGAAGGCCUUAGGGUUGUAAAGCUCUUUUACCCGGGAUGAUAAUGACAGUACCGGGAGAAUAAGCUCCGGCUAACUCCGUGCCAGCCGCCGCAGUAA
rnacentral:rRNA from 1 species